CCCCACUAAAGUCCAAAUCAAAUACUAGCCGUCCACCGACGCCUUUGCCGCUAUAAAUACGGCAUCCGCCCUUCUUUUUUGCAGCAGAAGCGCACAACAAAACCUAACCUGCCCUGAAACAUCAUCAGAAAGAAAUGACUCCAGGUAAUCACGCCACGGGAUCGGCCAUGUCAGUUAUGACACAGAAAAAGGACAACGGCGCUAGACUGCGGCGCCGCAGGACAAAGAGAAGGAGCCUUGUGGCUACAGUGGAGAAGCUAAGUGCAAUGAUGUCGAAGAAGAGAGCAAAAUCGGAACGCAUGAAGAAGAGGCUGAGCAAAAUGAAAGCCCAAGUGGAAGAGAUGGGGUCAGAAUGUGCCACAAUGCUUGAGCAGAAUAAGUUGGCGAUUGAGGAGAAUGUUGACAUCCAACUCUCCGUAGAUUUCAUGGUGCUUGCCUUCUUAUGCAGCGGCAAUGGUGGAGGCUGAUUACUAUGCCAAAUCCUAGCCUAUGCCUAUGUGUCUUUGGUGUGCAAUUUACAAUUUCUUUGAUUGUGGUGGAAGGAAGCUAAUGGCUAUUGGUUUCCCCAAAACCUAGCCUAUGCAUAUGUGUCUUCUGGGCAUGUAAUUGCCUGUUUCUUUUAUUGUGGUGGAAGGAAUCUGAUGGCUGUUGGUUUCCCCAAACCCUGACCUAUGCGGGUUGACAAUGAUUGAAGUUUGGUUGCCUUACAGUGGACUGUUGAGUAGGCUCCAGGGUUGUCCAGUGGAAUGCAAUUUGAACUUCGAGACAAGUCGUAGCUCAGACAUUUUUGGGUACGAAUUACUGCUCGUGCAUCUUGGAUUUAAAAUGAUAACUAGUGUUUUGCAGAACUUAUGAGCAGUGGAAAAUGCAUAUCCAACUUGGUGGUCAUAUAUGAGACAAUCUGGGUAGUUUAGCUGGCUGCAAGGUUCAUCUCCAUAUUCUGAAAGAAAUUCAGUUUGCAGAAGUUGAUACACAAGGUUAUGUUAGCAUUUGCAGACCUUGUACAUGUUCAGUUUAACUGCUACAGAGAUCUUUUAACAGAUUAUUGAAGAAUCAGUCAUGUCAGUAAGGACUAAAGCACACAACACAGGGUACAGCAUCGUAUGACAAACAGAAGGAGGCUCAAGGUCAGUACCGUUAGAUCUUGUAUUUUAGUAAGCUAAGUACAUUCAGAUUUCUUCUUUUAUCAUAUCCCUUUUUGCAACUUCUUAUUUGUUCUCCUAAACAAACCAAAACCAAAACCAAAUGAAAGCUACAUUGGAGAAGAUAAGAGCAAAGGUUCGAAGAAGAGAGCUGAAGCAGAACCCGAACCUGUUGAGAAGAGGCUAAACAAAACGGAAGCCUAAGUGGAAGAGAUGGAAUCAGAACGAUUUCAUGUAUUUCUAUUUAAUGUAGGGUGUGAAAAAAAUAUACCCCUCAUGGUUAUCUCUAUUCAUGGUUCUUAUCAUUGUGGAUCU